ensembl:lncRNA
GGUUAAUACGUUAGCAAGCGUGUGCUGGCUACAGGUUAAUACGUUAGCAAGCAUGUGCUGGCUACAGGUUAAUACGUUAGCAAGCGUGUGCUGGCUGUUUCUCUAUGGCUAUAUGAAGAUGACUGUCUCUAUGGCUAUAUGAAGAUGACUGUUUCUCUAUGGCUGUAUGAAGAUGACUGUUUCUCUAUGGCUAAAUGAAGGUGACUGUUUCUCUAUGGCUAUAUGAAGAUGACUGUUUCUCUAUGGCUGUAUGAAGAUGACUGUUUCUCUAUGGCUAUAUGAAGAUGACUGUUUCUCUAUGGCUAUAUGAAGAUGACUGUUUCUCUAUGGCUAUAUGAAGAUGACUGUUUCUCUAUGGCUGUAUGAAGAUGACUGUUUCUCUAUGGCUAUAUGAAGAUGACUGUUUCUCUAUGGCUAUAUGAAGAUGACUGUUUCUCUAUGGCUAUAUGAAGAUGACUGUUUCUCUAUGGCUAUAUGAAGAUGACUGUUUCUCUAUGGCUAUAUGAAGAUGACUGUUUCUCUAUGGCUAUAUUAAGAUGACUGCUUCUCUAUGGCUAUAUGAAGAUGACUGUUUCUCUAUGGCAUUAUUAUUAUUAUUUUUCAUAUAUAUAUAUAUAUAUUUUAACCUUUAUUUAACUAGGCAAGUCAGUUAAGAACAAAUUCUUAUUUUCAAUGACGGCCUAGGAACAGUGGGUUAACUG